rnacentral:sRNA from 1 species
UGGCGUGCACCUCCUCUAACCCUAAAAACUGGAGCUAUAGGUGUUGUUCUUUUAGCGUCGCCCGCUGUUUUUCUCGCUGGCUUUCAGUGGGCCAGAAAGUUCAGACCUCUCAGCAGACCAUUGCCUUCUUUUUAUAAGCAGGGGCUGUGCAGCCA